rnacentral:lncRNA from 1 species
GGCCUGCAGACUCAGCACUCAGGAAAGGCCUGCCCUCUCCUUGGCUCCCCUGUGUCACCAUCCUUCAAACUUGGGUUUCCUGAGAAGUUUCUGGAACAAACCCAGACUGCCGUGGUUCUGGCAGGUCAGUGCUGGGGGCCCGGGGCUGAGAAAGGGAAUGUCUACUGUGAGCCACGUGGAAGAGGGUAAACCAAGGCACUGAGGGCAAGGAUGCAGCAGCAGAGCAUGGGUGAAGCUCUCAGGCCAGCCCAGUGCCUGGCAUUUUACAGGAGAAGAAACAGGCUCAGGGAAGGCGAGCAAGGUGCCCAGGAUUGCACAGCUGGCAGAGUUUCCCCUAUUAUAAACAUGCUGCACUCGUGUGACACAUCUGUCCACCAUUGAUAGACCCACAGGGACGUGCCAUCAUCACCCGGAGUCCACAGCUCAGCCGGUGUGUGCCUGCUGCGGGUUUGGCACUGCAUGGAAAAUGGAUUUUUUUUAACACAUCGAGGCAAAACGUGAAAAAUGGAUUUUGAAGAAGACUUUUCCCAGCGGACAGUGGUUCCCCUGAUGAAUUUGAACGUGAGCACCUGCUGUGAGCGGGAGCGGGGGCCUCAGCCUGGGGUCCCUCCUGGAGGGGCCCUUGCUGCCCAGCCCCGCAGCAGUGCGGGCAUCAGAUGAAGCAGCGGCAUUGCCCUGCGUGUGGUCAGCGGCCAAGCUAUGCUCAUUGUGAGCCCCAUGCCCGGACGGCGCUGCCCCCACCACAGCGACCGGCCCAGUACAGGGUGGAUGACAGGAACCCUUCCUCGGGACUCUUCCAGCCGGGCCCAGGCGGAGACGUCAUUAGGAGGGUCUCUCUUUUCCUCCUGGGUUCCAAAGCCAUACGGGAAAACCCAGUAGACUCCACAAUUCAUGAAAACUGACAGGAGAGGCCAGACCAAGAUCAACACAAAAUUCAAAACGAUUUCUCCACACUGGCCAUAAAUAACCAGAAAAUAGAAAAUGAACACCAUGCACGAUAACAAGAUAAACCAUUCGUUAUGUAAGAUGAAGGGCGAAUAUGAAGUCCACACAAAGAAAGUCCACCCUUGGCCUCCCCCUCGGCUCCCUCACCCCGUGCUGUGAGACCACAUAUCACUCAGGGCUGCGCUAGGGCCAGGGGGCUGGGCAGGGUCUCCCUGUCUCUCUGUCUCUGCCUCUGUCUCUCCCUGUCUCUCUGUCUCUCCCUCUGUCUCCCUCUCUCUGUCUCUUUCUGUCUCUGUCUCUUUCUGUCUCUGUCUCUCUCUGCCUCUCUGUCUCUGUCUCUCCCUCUGUCUCUGUCUCUCUGUCUCUCCCUCUCUCCGUCUCUGUCUCUCUCUGUCUCUCCCUCUCUUUCUCUGCCUCUCCCUCUCUCUGUCUCUGUCUCCCUCUCUCUGUCUCUUUCUGUCUCUGUCUCUUUCUGUCUCUGUCUCUCUCUGCCUCUCUGUCUCUGUCUCUCCCUCUGUCUCUGUCUCUCUGUCUCUCCCUCUCUCCGUCUGUCUCUCUCUGUCUCUCCCUCUCUUUCUCUGCCUCUCCCUCUCUCUGUCUCUUUCUGUCUCCCUGUCUCUGUCUCUCUCUGUCUCUGUCUCUCUCUGUCUCUGUCUCUCUCUGUCUCUGUCUCUUGAAUCCCCUUGAUUAUUAUUUUUCUUAAAUUCCUCAUGUUAUCUCGCGUGCACUCAGGGGAAAGGUGGAGCUCUGGCCACAACCUAUAGCCACCUGCUGGGGAAGCCGCAGCAGAUCAGGACUCAGUCAGUGACCCCACUCCACACUCAAGACCAGCCAGAGGAACCCAAAUAUGGAUGCCCACCUCCCCCAUGCCCAUCGCAGGGGCAGCUGAGCCCCGGCAGUGGCCUCCCCACGUGAUCAGUCCCCGCACCCACACCUCUGCCUGCGGCUGGGCAGCCUCCCCGCUCCCAGCACUCCCUCCUGUCUUUCCUGCCACUGCGUGAGCACCACGAGGUCAGGAACUGAUUUUACCUCCCUCACAGGAAGUCAAAGGUCAAAGGUCUUAGAUGCCCCUGGCACCUGAUCCUGGAGCCCUGACCCCAGACAAAUGAGUCAUGUCGACACUUUCCAAGAUGAAUGGCCACAUCCCCAGCCAUCAGGCAAACUUAGUAAGCCCUGUUUCCAAUCAUAUCAAGCCUGUUCAAUAUAACUUUGUUUAGAGAUGGGGCCUUGCUCUGUUGCCCAGGCUGGAGUGCAGUGGCACAAUCGCAGCUCACUGCAGACUCAACCUCCUGGGCUCAGGUGAUCCUCCCAGCUCAGCCUCCCGAGUAGCUGGAAUGAGAGGUGUGAGCCACUGUGCCCGUCUUAAAUAUAAUUUUUAAUGUAACUACAUAAAAGCUAAAUUGAAUCACAACUAGAACUUUUCUAAAUUUCAAGCUUGCAGUAUCUUUCCUGUACUUGGAACCAGGAAAAAUUUUUUUCUGGUCUCAAACCUUUUCGUAGGUCCUUGCAAAGUUCACAGGCUUCGUUUCCAAAUGGAGCACGAUGUGCCUGACAGAUCAAAGGGCCCUGCUCAGCCCAGGAACAGGCAGCUGCCUGUGCUGGGAAAGUCCGGUGUCUAACAGGUCACAGGUCACACCGUUCACAGCAGCGUUUUUCACGACGGCCAGAGGGUGGACGAAUGUGUUACAUGACCCCUGCCCCGAAUGUGAUAUGUACGCACAAUGGGACGUCAGUGGUCCCAGAAAUGGAAGGCACCUCGGACCCAGGGGCCACACAGCCACCCUGAGGACCUGAUGCUGAGGGAACGAGCCCCUCUCAGAAGCUCAAAUACCGUUUGAUCCCACGUGUGAGGUCUCCAGAGUCGUCAAACCUACAGAGACAGACAGUACGAUGGUGGUGCCCAGGGCAGGUGGGGGUUGGUGUUUGAUGGGGCCGGUUGACAUUUGGGAAGAUGUAAAGCUCUGCAGGUGGAUGGCAGUGAUGGCUGCACGGCAACGUGAAUGUGCUUCAUGCCACUGACCUGUGCACUUAAAAAUCAUUAAGACGGCCCGGGCAUGGGGUGGCUCACGCCUGUAAUCCCAGCACUUUGGGAGGCCAAGGUGGGCGAUUACCUGAGGUCGGGAGUUCAAAACCAGCCUGACCAACAUGGUGAAACCCUGUCUCUACUAAAAAUACAAAAUUAGCUGGGUGUGGUGGUGCAUCCCGGUAGUCCCAGCUACUUAGGAGGCUGAGGCAGGAGAAUCGCUUGAACCCUGGAGGCAAAGGUUGCAGUGAGCCGAGAUCACACCACUACAUUCCAGCCUGGGCAACAGAGUGAGACUCCAUCUCAAAAAAAAAUUGUUAAAAUGGUCAACUUUAUGUUAAAGGUAUUUUACCACAAUAAAAGCAAAGGUCACAGGCAGACCUCAUGAGUGCCCUGGAGGUGCUGUUGCCCCUGGGAUGGAAGCUCAUUAUUUUCAAAUGUUCUAUAUAUGGGGGUCUCUAUUCCGGGACAUUUGCUUAAAAAUCUCUUGGAUCAGACCCUUCUUCAGUUUUUCCUGCAAUUAUCAAUAUCUAGUUUGUUUCUAUAGUAGUUCAAUCAGCUAAGUAAAAAGCUCGAUGCUAAAUCUUGUCAAAGACAUUGCAAAUCUCCAUAGAUCGUCUGCGAAACCACAGCUUUCAUGUUUUGAGCGUAAGACCCUGGGGCUGGUGCUGUAACCCCUGCCCAGACUCUUCUGAGUUUCGGCGGCCCAGCAGGGCAGGGCCGGGCACCUGGCAGGUGGGGUCAUCCCCACAGGGCACCCCGGCCGAGGGCAGAGCUGGUUCCGCCGCAGGGUCGAUCCUGGGCUCUGGGCUGUGCACACGUCCUAUUGACACCCCGAGGACAGGACGUGCGAGUGACUCGUGAGAUUGGGCCUCCCUUGCUGAAAACUUCCCUGGUGGCUGACAGCUGCGUGGACAUUCAGCGGCCCUACCUUUUUCCGUCAGGCGCCAGCAGCCCCUCUGUGUAGAGGUGAGACAGGCCAAGCUGCAGCUUCUAGACGAGACGCCCGAAAGCAGAGAAGUACCCAGAGCAGGGACCCGGCAGCCCGGCAGUACGCUGGGCACAGUCGCAGCCCCGCCUCUUCCUUCUCCGUCUUGUUCCCUCCUUCGGUCCCAGGAGAAAGACGCUCAUCUCCCCACAUGAGAGGCUCAGUGUAGGCGUCUGGACAGGGGCCAGUCCCACAAGGCUACUGACUCCGGACCACAAAGAAGCUGGAAGCAGCAGCUCCGCCUCUGCAGCCAAUUGCAGAGCUUUUUUCUCUGUGUUCUGCCCCCACUUCCAACUCAGGACCAACCAGAGGACGCCAAACACGUCCUAUCACCAACCACCGGACACCUGAC